rnacentral:misc_RNA from 1 species
CAGAGUUGCAAGACUCCCUAAAACCAUUGUGAACCUACCUUCUACCGUUGCUUUCGGCGGGCGGGCCCAGCGCCCCCCCCCGGCCCCCCGCGGGCGCCCGCCGGAGGAUACCCAAACUCUUGACAUUAGUGGCCUCUCUGAGUAUUCUUUACUGAAUAAGUCA